rnacentral:rRNA from 1 species
AGAGUUUGAUCCUGGCUCAGGAUGAACGCUAGCGGGAGGCCUAACACAUGCAAGCCGAGCAGUAGAGAUUCUUCGGAAUCUUGAGAGCGGCGUACGGUGCGGAACACGUGUGCAACCUACCUUUAUCUGGAGGAUAGCCUUUCGAAAGGAAGAUUAAUACUCCAUAAUAUAUUGAUUGGCAUCAAUUGAUAUUGAAAGCUCCGGCGGAUAGAGAUGGGCACGCGCAAGAUUAGUUAGUUGGUGAGGUAACGGCUCACCAAGACGAUGAUCUUUAGGGGCCUGAGAGGGUGAUCCCCCACACUGGUACUGAGACACGGACCAGACUCCUACGGGAGGCAGCAGUGAGGAAUAUUGGUCAAUGGGUGCAAGCCUGAACCAGCCAUCCCGCGUGAAGGACGACUGCCCUAUGGGUUGUAAACUUCUUUUGUAUAGGGAUAAACCUACCCUCGUGAGGGUAGCUGAAGGUACUAUACGAAUAAGCACCGGCUAACUCCGUG